AUACGGAGGGAGCAAGCGUUAUUCGGAAUCACUGGGCGUAAAGGACGCGUAGGCGGGUUUGUAAGUCAGGUGUGAAAUCCUACAGCUCAACUGUAGAACUGCACUUGAAACUACAGACCUAGAGUAUGGAAGGGGCAGGUGGAAUUAGUGGUGUAGGGGUAAAAUCCGUAGAUAUCACUAGGAAUACCGAAAGCGAAGGCGACCUGCUGGGACAUUACUGACGCUGAGGCGUGAAAGCGUGGGGAGCAAACAGGAUUAGAAACCCCAGUAGUCC
rnacentral:rRNA from 1 species